AAUAAACACCACUGUAAACAGUGUCUAUUAGUUUUGUAACAAGAUUUAAGGCAAGGUACCUACUACUAGUAACUAUUUAAAGAACAACAAACAACACAAGAAGA